UUCGGCUGUCAUAGCGAAGGGGAAACGCCCGGUCCCAUUCCGAACCCGGAAGCUAAG
rnacentral:rRNA from 1 species